GCCCACGUAGCUCAGUUGGUAGAGCGACGCAUUCGUAACGCGUAGGUCAUCGGUUCAAUUCCGGUCGUGGGCUCCA
rnacentral:tRNA from 1 species